AUGCUCCCACAUACUCUGCAUAAGUUGUGUCGAUGGCAUAUCAUGAAGAAGUACAAAGACCACCUCACCUUGCUGUAUAAGGCCCAUGAGAAACUCAAGGAUGACCUCAAUGCGGUGCUGAACCACCCACUAAUGCCGUCAGAAUUUGAACGAGCAUGGAAGGACCUCAUUCGGAGAUACAACUUGCAAGACGAUGAAGUGAUGAAUUCGUUGUGGGAUGACAGGCACGAGUGGAUCUCGGCUUACUACAAGGAAAUUUUCUGUGCUCGGAUGACUUCCACACAGAGAAGCGAGAGCAUGAACCGCAUACUGAAGAAAAACUUUGUCAAAGAGAAGCAUGAUCUCCAUCUAUUUGCUCAGCAGGUGGACAAGUGCAUUCAGACCAGGAAGGCCGUCGAGCACGCAGAGACAGUAGCAAAUGAGUCAGAGGUAAAGAUAACAACCCAGUUUGGGUUCGAAGUUCAGUUAUCAAAAGUGUAUACAAGGGCAGUGUUUGAUUUCAAAGAAACACUCUACCGUAGCACUGCAUUUAGAGCAGAACGGUGCCCUGAGAACCCGACAAAGUAUCUCGUACACCACUACAACAGAUCGGAUGCAUUUGACUGUGCAAGGCAUAAUUUCCAAGUGGUCGCCGAUGAACAGAAAGGUGUCUACGAAUGUGAGUGCAAACUCUGGACACACACAGGGCUCUUUUGCGUCCAUGUGUUAUGCAUGCUUUCUCAUUUGAGAGUACUCAAGAUUCCUGAGGUGUACAUCAUGAAAAGAUACACCCGUAACGCAAGAUCAAAUGCGACGUUUGACAGAAGAGACUAUGAACAAACAGCACCAGAUGGAACCUCGCUUUUUUGCCGUAGAAAAUUGCUGACAGAAACAGCAAUGGACCUUGCAAACAGAGCGACAAGGUCCGAUGCUGGGUGCCACAGAGCGUUGUCUGGUAUGAGGGCACUGGUCGAGGAAGUUGAUGUGCUCAGCGAAGAAGAAGAAGAAGCAAAACUAAAGCAAGCAGAGAAACCCCAACAUGACAAUAAUGCCGAUGAAGUAGAAAAUACCGAACACAGCGGAACUGGUGCUAUCAAAAAAAGAAACAAUUCUUCCACCUCUUGUUUCAAACACAAGAGGAAGGAAGAAAGGGGGCGACGCAACCCAGAAAAAGGUUGCAUGCAAGGAGAGAAAUGA
rnacentral:rRNA from 1 species